UACGUAGGGGGCUAGCGUUGCUCGGAAUCACUGGGCGUAAAGCGCACGUAGGCGGAUCUUUAAGUCAGGGGUGAAAUCCUGGAGCUCAACUCCAGAACUGCCUUUGAUACUGGGGAUCUCGAGUCCGGAAGAGGUGAGUGGAACUCCGAGUGUAGAGGUGAAAUUCGUAGAUAUUCGCAAGAACACCAGUGGCGAAGGCG
rnacentral:rRNA from 1 species